GACAUUUUUUUCAUUCCGUAGUAAAAUACGCAUGAAAUCAGAGGUGAACGGAUUCGAAAUUUUCGUCUUACACUGGCUAUGUUCUCACUAUAAAACUGAUGACGUCUGAAAUCGAGAGCUAGAUAAAUAUUGAUCCGAUCUACGUCAUCGUAUCGUUAAAUCAAUGGAAAAUCCUAAGCGCAACGAGCUUCGACGAGAAAUGCGUCUGCACCUCGUGGAGAACGAGUUUGUGUUGUUACGUACAUCUUGUUAACUAUUUUCUUCGUGUAAAUAUUUAUACAAAUUAUGAAGAAUUAUUCGGAAAUCAUAUUUAUGAGACAAAUUCCAAAAUCAAAUUCGACCAACUGGAAUUUUGCCAGUGCGUUUGUGACGUACGAAAAACAUUGUUUGAGGAAUUUACGUUGCAAAUAAACAACUUAUUCGACAAAAGAUGAAAUAUCACCGUUAUACUCACAAUGCACAGGUCAAAACAACGGAUUAAACAAUUUCCAGGACAUAUGCAAGCGAUGAAAAGAAUUUACUGAAAAUUGCAGUUUGAUCGGAAAGAUAAAGUGCAUCCAACCGUGACGAAUACUCGUGAAAACACCUACCUUGCGCGGUAAAAUCGGUGCCAAUGACUAGACGGGUAUGGAUCGUUGGAACCGGCGUCUAUGCUCCACGAGUGUCACAGUAAUUGGAAAGUAAAUUUCCGGGAGUAAAGUGGAGAUCGAUAGAAUCGUCACUCGGAGAUACCGUACGUGAUUCUCUUCUCUGACCAGCGGUGCACGGUACAGCGAUCAAUUAUUCAGGAAUUAAUGAAGAAAUUAGCAAAGUUGAGCUUCGCGAUGUCGCGUGCGUUAACCCUCUUGGCAAUAAAUAUGUGCAAGUUAGCUGAUCGAGCGAAUCGCAGAAGGGAGACGAUGCAGACCUGUUGCCUUUGGUCUCAGUUAGAAGAGCUUGGGAGGCAACCACACUCCGCCGGUACCACCCAACAAAUACCAUCUUUCCAUAGAAAUAACAACGUGCAGAGCCAAGCUAAGGACGGUGGCUUUAAACUCGACACUUCCACCUGCCAACCCACGAUAUUCUUGGGGCAGACCACCGCACCGAUUCCCUACCUACGUUUCUUCCCUAAUAAUAGAUCCUUAGUUUUCCACUACUCUGCACCACCAAUACUAUGCUGAUCCGCGUUGACCGUUGUUCCCAACGUCCAUCCGCUGUCGGGACGAGGGUAAGAAACGCCUGCACGCGAUGACGGAGAUCAUCGAUGAAUUCCUACGCGCUAACUUAAACUUACUGCGGUAUAGGGCGACCUUGGCAGAGAAGUUCUUUCAACUAUAAUACCAAAGCAACGUGAUAGGGAUCCACACGCAGUGCCUCUAGUGCGAUUGAUGAUCGUCCACAUGAACCAUUCAAAGUCGUCUAGUAUUGCAUUCUGGAAAAUAUUAUACAUUUGGUUAC